rnacentral:rRNA from 1 species
GACGAACGCGGGCGGCGUGCUUAACACAUGCAAGUCGAACGAAGAGCGAUGGAAGCUUGCUUCUAUCAAUCUUAGUGGCGAACGGGUGAGUAACGCGUAAUCAACCUGCCCUUCAGAGGGGGACAACAGUUGGAAACGACUGCUAAUACCGCAUACGAUCUAAUCUCGGCAUCGAGGAUAGAUGAAAGGUGGCCUCUACAUGUAAGCUAUCACUGAAGGAGGGGAUUGCGUCUGAUAGCUAGUUGGAGGGGUAACCGGCCCACCAAGGCGAUGAUCAGUAGCCGGUCUGAGAGGAUGAACGGCCACAUUGGGACUGAGACACGGCCCAGAUCCUACGGGAGGCAGCAGUGGGGAAUCUUCCGCAAUGGACGAAACUCUGACGGAGCAACGCCGCUGAGUGAUGACGGCCUUCGGGUUGUAAAGCU